CUGAAACGAGAGUACUUAUUAGCUCACAGAUUCUUUGGGCCUGAGAUCCUGCGGCGGCCCAGCUAUGGGGUUCUGGCUCAAGAUCUCUUAAAAGGAGGCCAUGAAGACACUGGGCAGGGUGGCAGGCAUCGCAAAGCCUAACUGGGGGAGGAUCCACUUCUAAACUCACUCUUGUGACUCAGGCGAGUGGCCCCAGGUCCUCACUAGCCACCAGCCUGAGACGCCACCUGAACAGCUCCUUAAAACAGCUCAUCACCUGGUAGUUUGCUUCCCCUAGAAUGAGACAAGCCAAGAGAGAGGCCCCCAGACAGAAGCCACGGGCUUUUUAAUAACCUAGUCCGGAAGUGACGUCACACCCAGAGGGCGGGCAUUACCCAGAAUACUAGGAGGAGUGUCGGAGGGUGUCUUAGAGGCUGCCACCCCAGGAAGACUUUAGGCAAAGUCCCAGCCUCAGCCAGAUGCCACUAGGAGCUCUGGACUAUGACUCACAUCUGGGAGUUUAUCUCACCUCAAGAUGGAAAGGAGAAAGGACCACCCUAAGUUUACACUGAGUUUGAGUGGAGAUGGACUCAGGCCCCUUCUUAUGUCCAACUCAAGUCCUUCCCUGACUACUCGGUGGGUAAGUGUGUGUGUGUGGGGGGGCUUAUCUGCAAGGCUACAUAAAUUUCCCCCCUGCAUUCUUUUUGCAAGAUCCUCUUCACACCAGCUGUCUGCAGCCAGCCUUCAGCCUGAGCUGUCUUGCUCCUACCCCAUCUCACCAAGCCAUGCUCUGCAACCAACUGGGAAGUCACCUGUCCAGUGGUGGGUUCAGAAACCCUUCUGGAACUGCUUUCUGCCUAGCAGCAGCUCAGAGUGAUAGGAGGGGGAAAAAAAAAACCCCACAGGCAAGAUGGAUGCACUAGAACUACAUGCACCCACACGGCUCUGCCUUUGUCCAAACAAGCAAGGUGCAGAGUGACAGGUACACCAGGACACCCUGUUCCUCAGACCUCUUCUGACGGGGGCAAACACACAGGCACACACUCCCAGCGUGUCCUUGUCCCUCAGGCCUGGGCGCAACUGUGCCUUUCUGCCCAUCUGAAGGAGCUCCCUGCAGGCAGCGUCCUGCAGAGCCCCCAGCCCCAGCUGUGCCCGGCUGUGCGCCCCCACCCCACCAGCUGUCAUCUUCUUGAAGGCGGGUGUACGUAUGUCUUAUUUCAACAAUUUCUCCGGUGCCUCAAACAUGUAAGGCACUCAAUAAAUGAAUACUGCUGAACGAA